GUCAAGUCAUGUCACAAGCAAUACACGUGACGUUAUAAGAUGAGAGAGGGAGCCUUCACCACACACCGCUCUCAACUCAUUCUGAGUUCGCUCCCAAGUGGAAACGGCUCUGUGCCCUAAAGAGAUCUACCGGGAAUCAAUGGUUCAACCUGGUUGAUCAUGACGGAGAUGGUCGCAUUACAGGUCACGAAGCGACUAAGUUCUUCGCCAUGUCCAAGCUUUCUCGACAAGAACUCAAGCAGGUUUUUUAAGUUUCAUUUUAGGCGCUGAUAGUUAUUUUCCAUUUCGGUGCUUUUAGUUUAUGAUUUUGUUUGUUUUCUAGCCUAAACUGUUAUACUCGACUUGGCAAGUAAAGAGUAUUUGGUUUUAUCCUUAGAUCGGUAGUUUUUGGAAGCUAAUUUGUUUGUCUUGUAUUUCGUAUCUUACACUCUGUUCUUAAUUUUAUUUAUUUAUUUCGUAUCUUAUUUUUCUUCUUCUUUUAGUCUAAAAUGUUAUUAUCUUCGUUCCAGCAUAUUCAAGAAGUCUAGCUAAAACUCAUUUUCUAUUUUUAGGUUUGGGCCAUUGCUGAUGAAAAGGGGCAGGGCUUCUUAGCUUUCGUUUUUGCAGUGAAGGUGAUUUUAGGAUAUUCUUUCCUUUUUCUUUUUUUGGUGCUGAUAUGUUUAUUGUAAUAGAAUCUUACCUUCAUCUGUGUUCGAAUUGGAUAGUUGAUUUCCUUUGCACAAGAACAUGAACUAACCCUAGACAUCCUCAGAACAGAAGGCAAGUGGAAGAUAUUUGUUAAUUAAUACUUCCUUUUCUGUUUUUCAUAAAUUCAGAAGCAUACAACAUAUACAAUUGGACCAGGUCUCAUUCAUUGUUAUUUCAAAGCCUUUCCUUGAGGCUGCCAAGAAUGUUAUUCUUUCAGAAGUCUUUAAGCCUUAUUCUUAUUUAAUUGCAGUUGAUUGGGAAAACAUUAAACCUCCAGUUAUGGAAGGUUUGGAUGCUCUGACAGCCGUGAGUAUUUUCCUUUUUCCUACUUCGUGCCUAUGUGGCAUACACUAUGAAUUUCACUUAUUAUUUGCUUGAUUCUCUAUCAACAGGAAAUCAUGAGUUCAGCGACAAAAGGACUUGAAGUAAAAUAAAUAGUUAGAAAAUCCAUCUAACUCUUGCGAAUAUAGUUGUAAUGAUCUUUUACUAGGUUUGUUUGGUGGUAAUGAGGCAGCAAGCAUUCACUCCGAAUCUUGUACGCAGUGGUUUGGUUCAAAACGAAUGAAGAAAGUAAGAUCAGAUGUCCUUUGUCCAUUGGAGAUUAUGUUUUAUUUUGAUUGAUUCACUUUUAAACUGCUGCAGUUUCAUCUUUCCAAAAUCUUUUUAUUGCCAUAUAUAGAUAGUAACUUUAUACUCGUUAAUACCUUUUUUAUUCAGUUGAAUCAUCUCCCUAACCAGUUUCUCUGCUUAUUCAGUUAGAAGUAGUUAGUUUCCCUGUGUUCUAAUUCAUGGAUAUAACAUUGUAUUUGUUGUAGACAUCUAACACUGAAAUUUGGUAACAUGUGUUCAUUGUUUUGCUCCCAAAUCUUUGGUAAAGGUGUUUUUUCUUUGGACAAAAUUUUCUUUUAAUCUACAUAUCAACUUGUUUUUACAUAUUUAUAAAGGUAUGUCUUCUUUUCCUUACUGCCUGACUUGUUCAAGUUGGUUUCUUCAGCUACCACUUGAUGGCGUCACAUCUAUAGUUGAUGGUUUGAAGAUAUUGUACGGAGAAACACUAAGGCCACUGGAACUUACAUAUAAUUUCAAUGAUUUUGUAUCUCCAUCAUUGGUGAGUGUAUUCCCAUAUGUUUUCAUGUAUUUAGUAGGAUAUAUAUGAUUUAGUUAGUUCACCUUAUUAUCCUUCUAACUGCCUUCGUAGCAUAUUGUUUUGUUUAGGUAGAACAUUUGCUAAAUAAUGGCUGAUUUAUUCCUUUGCAGACCGAUGGCGAUUUUGAUGCUAAGCCGAUGGUCUUGCUCUUGGGUCAGUAUUUGACCGGAAAAACUACAUUCGUUAAACAUUUGCUAAAUGUAGCUAUCCAGGUUGGUUAAGUUUUCUCUUUUAUUUUAUUUUCAAAUGAUUAAUGGACAACCAUACCAUACGGCUUACAUUUGCUUUGAACAGGAGCUCAUAUUGGACUAGAACCUGCAAAUGACAGAUUUGUGGUUGUGAUGGUAUAGUUUCUUAUAACCAUGCUUCCUUUCUAAAAACUAAUUUAGUUUGUCAUUGUUUCUUUGUAGUCUUAGGCUUAUUGUGUGUCACAUAGUCUUUGUAAUUCUAAACCUUACUCAAAUUUUUGUACUUAGUCCGGACCUGAUGCAAGAAGGAGCAUACCUGGAAAUACCAUAGCUGUGAAUGCAGACCUUCUUUUCAGUGGUCUAGCAAGUUUUGGAGGCUCAUUUCUGUCAAAAUUUGAGUGUUCUCAAAUGCCUCAUCCGGUGAG
rnacentral:lncRNA from 1 species